rnacentral:ncRNA from 2 species
AAUUCAGGGGAAGCGCAAGGCCCAUCAGAGCAGGAGAUGAAGUUGCUCCGCUCAGGGCAGCCGGCACAGCCCGGUUGACCGAGGCAGAUGGGAUACGAGGUGGAAGUCAUCGAACGAUCUGCGGAUGCUUCCAGGGUGGCACCGAACCCUCCCCCCACGCACAGCGUGGAAGCAGAGCC